rnacentral:rRNA from 1 species
CCUACGGGGGGCAGCAGUGGGGAAUAUUGGACAAUGGGCGCAAGCCUGAUCCAGCCAUGCCGCGUGAGUGAAGAAGGCCCUAGGGUUGUAAAGCUCUUUCAGCGGGGACGCGGUACCCGCAGAAGAAGCCCCGGCUAACUUCGUGCCAGCAGCCGCGGUAAUACGAAGGGGGCUAGCGUUGUUCGGAAUUACUGGGCGUAAAGGGCGCGUAGGCGGGUUUCCGAGUCGGGGGUGAAAUUCCAGGGCUCAACCCUGGGACGGCCUUCGAUACUGGGAGCCUGGAGAUCGGGAGAGGUGAGUGGAAUUCCGAGUGUAGAGGUGAAAUUCGUAGAUAUUCGGAGGAACACCAGAAGCGAAGGCGGCUCACUGGCCGAACUGACGCUGAGGCGCGAAAGCGUGGGGAGCAAACAGGAUUAGAUACCCUUGUAGUC